AUUGAACGCUGGCGGCAGGCCUAACACAUGCAAGUCGAACGAGUGGCGGACGGGUGAGUAAUGCCUGGGAAACUGCCCGAUGGAGGGGGAUAACUACUGUAAACGGUAGCUAAUACCGCAUACCAUCGGAUUUGCCCAGAUGGGAUUAGCUAGUAGGUGGGGUAACGGCUCACCUAGGCGCCGCUCCCUAGCUGGUCUGAUAGGAUGACCAGCCACACUGGAACGGAGACACGGUCCAGACUCCUACGGUAGGCAGCAGUGGGGAAUAUUGCACAAUGGGCGACAUCCUGAUGCAGCCAUGCAGCGUGUAUGAAGAAGGCGUUCGGGUUGUAAAGUACGUACAGCGGAGAGGCGUUACCCGCAGAAGAAGCACCGGCUAACUCCGUGCCAGCAGCCGCGGUAAUAC
rnacentral:rRNA from 1 species